ACUUCUUCAGGCCCUUUUGGAUUGCGUUUGUAACUCGCUCAUAUCUUCGAAGUAUAAUUUUUUGCAGAGUUCUCCUCCCACAUCUGGCGACUCAGUGAUGUCGGCACUUCCACCGAUGAUCCGUGUCCCUGGGUAAGCCUUUGAUAAUAUUUACCUUUAGUCCGAUGGUGAUAAUAUCCAUUCCUUUAAAUGCACCCCCUUCUCCUUUCAGGGCGCAGGCGAAGAAAAGAAAAACUGGCGGGUCAACUCCCAUUACAAUUUCGGAGCC
rnacentral:lncRNA from 1 species